GACGAACGCUGGCGGCGUGCCUAAUACAUGCAAGUUGAGCGCUGAAGGUUGGUACUUGUACCAACUGGAUGAGCAGCGAACGGGUGAGUAACGCGCGGGGAAUCUGCCUUUGAGCGGGGGACAACAUUUGGAAACGAAUGCUAAUACCGCAUAAAAACUUUAAACACAAGUUUUAAGUUUGAAAGAUGCAAUUGCAUCACUCAAAGAUGAUCCCGCGUUGUAUUAGCUAGUUGGUGAGGUAAAGGCUCACCAAGGCGAUGAUACAUAGCCGACCUGAGAGGGUGAUCGGCCACAUUGGGACUGAGACACGGCCCAAACUCCUACGGGAGGCAGCAGUAGGGAAUCUUCGGCAAUGGACGAAAGUCUGACCGAGCAACGCCGCGUGAGUGAAGAAGGGUUUCGGAUCGUAAAACUCGGUUGGUAGAGAAGAACGUUGGUGAGAGUGGAAAGCUCAUCAAGUGACGGUAACUACCCAGAAAGGGACGGCUAACUACGUG
rnacentral:rRNA from 1 species